rnacentral:lncRNA from 1 species
ACAAACACAAAAGACACGCUGAGGGGCCGCCGGCUCCCGCCGAGACUGCCGCCCGCACCCGGCCAGCCCCCGCCCCCGGCCCUGCACUCCCAUCCCGCUCCGUGUGCGCACGGCGUCGAACCCCCGAAGCCCGGGUUUGGGGCGCCCGGAGGGAAGUGGGGGGAGGGGAAGGCGGGCGGAGGCGCGGCGGGUGAACGCCCGGCCUGCGGGCGUCUCGGGCCGCGGCGGGGAGGGGAGGGAGGGGCUGCCCCCGCGCGGGCCCCGGCGCGCGCCCCCGAGGAGACCCGGGCGGCAGUGGGGGAGGAGGACGCGGUCGGCCGGGUCGCCGCGCCCCAUUGGAAAACGCUCCCCAGCAGGAAGCUGGCAAAUAGGAAUCCAGCGUCCCGCGCCCGCUGUCGGACCUGGCCGCUGCGGCAGCGGGAGGGGCGGACCGACGGCCUCCUUCCCGCCUGCGCGCUCGGCCAAGUGCGGCCGGGUCCUGCGGGACCGGCCCGAGUCCGCCGUAGACAACUUGAUCCGCUAAGACUCCUGGGCCGGCCGCCUGCGUGCAGGGCAGCCCCUCGCCGGUGUUGGCCUCCGGGAUCAGGGGACGGGGCUCGCUCUCCUCCCGGGCCCGGGCCCCCGACGCAAGAUGGCUGUGUCGCGUCGGCCUCUAAACAAUGUGUGGAGCGCGCAGCUCCUGCACCAGGGCCUGGUGGCUUGUCCUGCCCGCCCGUGGGGGCCGUGUGAUCUGUUUUCGGUAGGAUUGCUUUGGAAAGGAAUUGCCGAAUAUAGAUAGUCAAAUGUCCGCAGCUUCUGCAUAGUUUAGAAGAGGCUGAAAACGGCAGAAAGAAGGCAAACGUGGUUUGGGAAUUAGUACAUAUACCUGUUUUCCAAUUCUCAGUAGCAUAGGAAACGGACUUUUCAUGGCCCAAGUUAUCCUCACGACUUGUCAGUUGAUUGGCUUUGGAACCUCUGAACCGUCCCUAGAUGGUAUUGACGCUUCACAACUGUGUGUAAAGGUUUUCAAUGGAAGGGUCAUGCAAAUAUCCCGUAGGGUAGUGAAGGAGGAAAAUUUCAUAAAUGAAGGGCAGUAAUUAUUUGUAAUCUGAAGAUCUCACAAAGCGGCUUAGUGAUAAACAUUAUCCCGAAACAGAUACAUGGAAAUCAGAUACGAGGGAAGAAAUGGAUUUGUCCAAGGUCACUUAAGUGAGGAAGAGACCUAGGAGAAACAAACAGACAAAAAUCCAGGCCUCCCGUUUCAUUAUUAUUUCAUGAAUGUUAAGUGUCCAUGGUUGCUGUGCAGAACACAUGCAAUCUCUAAUCCUAUCCUAAAAGCACAUAUGCAAUCAGCUUGGACCGAGCUGCCAGCAAAGAAUUUCCUAUAAUUCAAGCCAAGAUGAGUUAUUUUGCUUGUUUUUUGUUUUGUUUUCAGGAAACCGAAAUAUUUAUUGUUGGAUUUAUCCAGGAAGGCUGUUCUGCAUUAGUUAAAUGCAUCAUAUCUUCAAGAAAUGUUAAAUGACAUGGAGAGAGGGUUUGUUUUGUUGUCCAUGCUGGUCUCAAACUCCUGGCCUCAAGCAAUCCUUUUGCCUCAGCCUGCCAAAGUCCUAGGAUUAUAGGUGUGAGCCACCACCUCCAACUUAGGUUUGUAUUAUAAAAUUAACCUCAGAAGCAAAUCACUGCUCCAGACUCUGUGAAACCAUGUGAUCUUGGUCUAUUUUGUGUUGCCAUAACAGAACACUUGAGACUGGGUAAUUUAUAAACAAAAGAGGUUUAUUUGGCUCACAAUUCUGCAGGCUGGGAAGUUCAAGGGCAUGGCCCUGGCCUCUGGUGAGAGCUUCCAUGCUGCAACAUAACAUGGUAGGGAAGGUCAAAAGGGAAGUGAACACAUGUGAAGAGGGAGAACCUGAGGGAUGUCUCAGCUUCAUAAACAACCCACUCUCACUGGAACUAAUCCUUUCCGACAGGAACUAAUCCAGUCUUACACCAAGCCAUUCAUGAGGGAUCCCCCCCAUGAUCCAGACACCUCCCACUAGGCCCACCUCUCAGCACCACCACAUGGGGGAUCAAAUUUCAACACGAGUUUUGGUGGGGACAAACAAACCAUGUCCCAGCCACGCCACAUGUGGCACACCAAAGCAGAAACAUAAACAUAUGAACAGCUGUUUUAGAGAAAGUCUGUUUUCUAUGCUGCCAGAAAUACAAAGCAACGGUACUUAUUCUGAUGGGUUCUUGAGUUAUUUCAAUCUUUUCCACAUAUUUCCUAAGCAUCAUUCCUUCAUGUACAAUUAGAUGGCCCUCAGGCUUCAUCCCAUCAGAGAUCAGAGUCAAAUCCCUAUGAAAUGAGUUGAAUUUCAUCCUCCCAAAAUUCACAUGUUAAAGUUCUAACCCAUAGCACUUCAGAAUGUGACGUGAUUUAGAAAUAGGGUCAUUACAGGACAAGUGCAGUGGUUCAUGCCUAUAAUUCCAGCACUUUGGGAGGCCAAGGCAGGAGGAUUGCUAGAGCUCAGGAGUUUGAGACUGGCCUGAGCAACAUGGCAAAACCCCAUCUUUGCAAAAUACACAAAAAUUAGCCAGACAUGGUGGUGCGUGCCUGUAAUCCCAGCUACUUGGGAGGCUGAGGCACGAGAAUUGCCUGAACCUAGUAGGUGGAGGUUGUAGUGAGCCAAGAUUGUGCCACAGCACUCCAGCCUGGGUGACAGAGUGAGACUCUGUC